CAGCAGUGGGGAAUCUUGCGCAAUGGGCGAAAGCCUGACGCAGCCAUGCCGCGUGAAUGAUGAAGGUCUUAGGAUUGUAAAAUUCUUUCACCGGGGACGAUAAUGACGGUACCCCGGAGAAGAAGCCCCGGCUAACUUCGUGCCAGCAGCCGCGGUAAUACGAAGGGGGCUAGCGUUGCUCGGAAUUACUGGGCGUAAAGGGAGUGUAGGCGGACAUUUAAGUCAGGGGUGAAAUACCCGGGGCUCAACCUCGGAAUUGCCUUUGAUACUGGGUGUCUUGAGUGUGAGAGAGGUAUGUGGAACUCCGAGUGUAGAGGUGAAAUUCGUAGAUAUUCGGAAGAACACCAGUGGCGAAGGCGACAUACUGGCUCAUUACUGACGCUGAGGCUCGAAAGCGUGGGGAGCAAACAGGAUUAGAUACCCUGGUAG
rnacentral:rRNA from 1 species